rfam:Anaerobium acetethylicum strain GluBS11 genome assembly, contig: Ga0116910_1014
UGAUAGCGUAGAAGCGUGAGGUUGCUGCAGUAAUGCAGGUGUUCCGUGGAGCGAAGGUCAAGUUAUGAAACUGGCGACAA